UGGAUGGAUGGAGGGAUGUGGGCCAGGAGAAGGAAAGGAGAAGAGGGCUGUAGCAUGUAGCUGGAGAGAUGAGGAAGCCCCUACCCACAACCCCCAUCCCAUACAGUGCUCUCCACAGGACAGCCGAGUGAAAUGCCGCCCGGUUCCUCUCACAUCUGAACAAGCACAACUCCACUUCCCUUGCAGCUAGACUCAAACCAAGGCUAAAGAAAUCUGAUCUGUGGUCGCGGGGAUGCUGAAGCCUAUCCCAGCAGUCAUUGGGCGGAAGGCGGGGAGACAUCCUGGACAGGCCGCCAGGC